rnacentral:misc_RNA from 1 species
GCACCAGCACCAGCACCAGCACCAACACCAGCACCAGCACCAGCAUCGACUUUUAUGCCAAAUCAAAUUGGUCCAAUAUUAGGAAAACCAUAUGUAGACAUAAAAACACUAUAUGAUCUUGAUAAAGAAUUGGGAAGAGGUCAAUUUGGGAUAACCUAUCUCUGUAGUGAUAAAUCAAGUGGAUUGAAAUACGCGUGUAAAUCGAUUUCAAGGAGGAAAUUGGUAACACAAAAGGAUAUUGAAGAUGUUAGAAGGGAAGUUACAAUACUUCAAUAUUUAAGUGGACAACCAAAUAUUGUUGAAUUUAAAGGUGCUUAUGAGGAUAAAAACAAUCUACAUUUGGUUAUGGAGUUGUGUAGUGGUGGUGAACUUUUUGAUAGGAUUACAGCAAAAGGGAAUUAUUCAGAGAAAGAAGCUGCAAGAAUUGGAAGACAAAUAGUGAAUGUGGUUCAUGUUUGUCAUUUUAUGGGAGUUAUGCAUAGAGAUCUUAAACCUG